AGAGUUUGAUCCUGGCUCAGAUUGAACGCUGGCGGCAUGCCUUACACAUGCAAGUCGAACGGUAACAGGUCUUCGGAUGCUGACGAGUGGCGAACGGGUGAGUAAUACAUCGGAACGUGCCCGAUCGUGGGGGAUAACGAAGCGAAAGCUUUGCUAAUACCGCAUAAGAUCUACGGAUGAAAGCAGGGGACCGCAAGGCCUUGCGCGAACGGAGCGGCCGAUGGCAGAUUAGGUAGUUGGUGGGAUAAAAGCUUACCAAGCCGACGAUCUGUAGCUGGUCUGAGAGGACGACCAGCCACACUGGGACUGAGACACGGCCCAGACUCCUACGGGAGGCAGCAGUGGGGAAUUUUGGACAAUGGGCGAAAGCCUGAUCCAGCCAUGCCGCGUGCAGGAUGAAGGCCUUCGGGUUGUAAACUGCUUUUGUACGGAACGAAAAGACUCUGGUUAAUACCUGGGGUCCAUGACGGUACCGUAAGAAUAAGCACCGGCUAACUACGUGCCAGCAGCCGCGGUAAUACGUAGGGUGCAAGCGUUAAUCGGAAUUACUGGGCGUAAAGCGUGCGCAGGCGGUUAUAUAAGACAGAUGUGAAAUCCCCGGGCUCAACCUGGGAACUGCAUUUGUGACUGUAUAGCUAGAGUACGGCAGAGGGGGAUGGAAUUCCGCGUGUAGCAGUGAAAUGCGUAGAUAUGCGGAGGAACACCGAUGGCGAAGGCAAUCCCCUGGGCCUGUACUGACGCUCAUGCACGAAAGCGUGGGGGAGCAAACAGGAUUAGAUACCCUGGUAGUCCACGCCUAAACGAUGUCAACUGGUUGUU
rnacentral:rRNA from 1 species